ensembl:lncRNA
UGGAGAGGAUGUGGAGCGGUUUUUAACAGAGUGGUUGGAGAGGAUGUGGAGAGGAUGUUGGAGAGGAUGUGGAGAGGAUGUGGAGAGGAUGUGGAGAGGAUGUGGAGAGGAUGUGGAGCGGAUGUGGAGCGGUUUUUAACAGAGUGGUUGGAGAGGAUGUGGAGCGGUUUUUAACAGAGUGGUUGGAGAGGAUGUGGAGUGGUUUUUAACAGAGUGGUUGGAGAGGAUGUGGAGAGGAUGUGGAGAGGAUGUGGAGAGGAUGUGAGGAUUGGUUGGAGAGGAUGUGGAGAGGAUGUGGAGAGGAUGUUG